rnacentral:tRNA from 1 species
GGCCUGUUAGCUCAGUUGGUUAGAGCGCCGUCCUAGUAACGCGGAGGUCAUGAGUUCGAUCCUCUUACGGGCCA